rnacentral:rRNA from 1 species
GAUGAACGCGGGCGGCGUGCCUAAUACAUGCAAGUCGAGCGAACAGACGAGGAGCUUGCUCCUCUGACGGUAGCGGCGGACGGGUGAGUAACACGUGGAUAACCUACCUAUAAGACUGUGAUAACUUCGGGAAACCGGAGCUAAUACCGGAUAAUAUAUUGAACCGCAUGGUGCAAGAGUGAAAGACGGGUUUGCUGUCACUUAUAGAUGGAUUCGCGCCGCAUUAGCUAGUUGGUAAGGUAACGGCUUACCAAGGCAACGAUGCGUAGCCGAACUGAGAGGCUGAUAGGCCACACUGGAACUGAGACACGGACCAGACUACUACGGGAGGCCGCAGUAGGGAAUGUUACGCAAUGGGCGAAAGCCUGACGGAGCAACGCCGCGUGAGUGAUGAAGGCCUUCGGAGCGUAAAACUCUGUUAUUAGGGAAGAACAAAUGUGUAAGUAAAUAUGCACGUCUUGACGGUACCUAAUAAGAAAGCAACGGCUAACUACGUG